rnacentral:lncRNA from 1 species
GUGGUAAAUAUUUCCUAUGGCCUUACACAUGCACACGCGUGUGCCCACAUGCACAGGCAUAUACCCACAUUUUCCUCUAUAUGCAUACAGAUGUGAUCCCGUGCACAGCUGGUGGCCAGAGCACAUUUGAAAAUGAAAUACAACUGCAGUCCCAAUACAACCAGUUAUGCACAAAUCAGCCCAGAUCCGGCGUGCUGUGUUCCCACCUCCCGAAGGCCUGAAUGACCAGGUUCAGGUAAUGUUUUCGCCAUGGAAUAGUUUUUGAUUCCCCCCACCCCUUACUUUUGCACAAGGCUUUGGAAACUGGGGUGCCCCCCAGCACCUGCAAGGCCUGAGCGCUCCCCUCCGGCUGGGAGGACGGCGGCGGCAGCGCUGGCUGGCACCACCAGGUCCACCCUCCCUCUCUGGAGGUGACCGGUCCUGUGAGUGGUCCCUUACUCUUAAAUAACCUUCCCAGAGAUGUUAAGAAUACACAUAGAGAAUUGGGCACUAUUAGACAAAGCGGAAAGACUUAAUGCUGCCUUAAAAAUCUCAAGGCCUGCUGCAGCAGUGGGGUGACGCUGCAAACCACUGCUGCGCAGAAGGCGAGGACGAGGGCUUUACAAUGGCCUCCUGGUGCUUUGAACUCAGCAGCGCUCCCCAGGUGCCAGCACGACAGCAAGGAGGCCUAAACUUCACAAG